rnacentral:rRNA from 1 species
CCUACGGGAGGCUGCAGUGGGGAAUAUUGGACAAUGGGCGAAAGCCUGAUCCAGCCAUGCCGCGUGUGUGAAGAAGGCCUUCGGGUUGUAAAGCACUUUCAGUGGGGAAGAAAGCCUUGGGGCUAAUACCCUCGAGGAAGGACAUCACCCACAGAAGAAGCACCGGCUAACUCCGUGCCAGCAGCCGCGGUAAUACAGAGGGUGCGAGCGUUAAUCGGAAUUACUGGGCGUAAAGCGCGCGUAGGCGGUCUGAUAAGCCGGUUGUGAAAGCCCCGGGCUCAACCUGGGAACGGCAUCCGGAACUGUCAGGCUAGAGUGCAGGAGAGGAAGGUAGAAUUCCCGGUGUAGCGGUGAAAUGCGUAGAGAUCGGGAGGAAUACCAGUGGCGAAGGCGGUCUUCUGGACUGACACUGACGCUGAGGUGCGAAAGCGUGGGUAGCAAACAGGAUUAGAUACCCCGGUAGUC